rnacentral:lncRNA from 1 species
AAGCUAUGAGUGUGCGUAGAGUAGAAUUGCUAUAAUCGUGUGGUUCGGUCUGAGAAGAUUUUAAAGAUAGAGAUAGAGUUAUGUUUUUAUUCAUUGUUGCUAUUUUUUUCUUGAAAAAUUUAAAAAUACAGAACACUCUAAACAAAGAAGCGGUCAUUGUACAAACGUUUUUCGGUUUGAAUAAAUUCUUACAUUCAACGGAAAAGGGAGUGUGCCUAGAGUAUAUGUAGUUUUUUGUGGUUUAUAAAUUAUUUUUUUGAUUUUUUUCCGACCCCGGUACAAAA